UGCCAGCAGCCGCGGUAAUACGUAGGGUGGGAGCGUUACUCGGAAUCACUGGGCGUAAAGAGCGUGUAGGCGGAUAAAUAAGUUGGAAGUGAAAUCCUAUGGCUCAACCAUAGAACUGCUUCCAAAACUGUCUAUCUAGAAUAUGGGAGAGGUAGAUGGAAUUUCUGGUGUAGGGGUAAAAUCCGUAGAGAUCAGAAGGAAUACCGAUUGCGAAGGCGAUCUACUGGAACAUUAUUGACGCUGAGACUCGACAGCGUGGGGCGCAAACAGUAUUCGAUA
rnacentral:rRNA from 1 species